rnacentral:lncRNA from 1 species
GCGCUUUUAGAAAAUAGUAACAAUAAACAGUAUCAUUGUUUCAUGUAAGCAAAGUGAACCAAUAGUUCAAUAAUAAACUCAUAAAGCAUUAUAUCAUAUCAAAUAAUACAUAUUGGGAGGUUUUCAAGAAUGAAUCAUGUAAUCAGUGUGACAUUCUUCCUCAUCCUCAUAACAGUGGACCCCUCAUAAAGGAGUUAAAUAUCAUAUCAGUAACAGUAUGCUAAUUCUACCUUCCCACU